GGCGGGACACGUGGUAUCCUGUCUGAAUAUGGGGGGACCAUCCUCCAAGGCUAAAUACUCCUGACUGACCGAUAGUGAACCAGUACCGUGAGGGAAAGGCGAAAAGAACCCCGGCGAGGGGAGUGAAAAAGAACCUGAAACCGUGUACGUACAAGCAGUGGGAGCACAGGUUUACCUGUGUGACUGCGUACCUUUUGUAUAAUGGGUCAGCGACUUAUAUUCUGUAGCAAGGUUAACCGUAUAGGGGAGCCGGAGGGAAACCGAGUCUUAACCGGGCGUUAAGUUGCAGGGUAUAGACCCGAAACCCGGUGAUCUAGCCAUGGGCAGGUUGAAGGUUGGGUAACACUAACUGGAGGACCGAACCGACUAAUGUUGAAAAAUUAGCGGAUGACCUGUGGCUGGGGGUGAAAGGCCAAUCAAACCGGGAGAUAGCUGGUUCUCCCCGAAAGCUAUUUAGGUAGCGCCUCGUGAAUUCAUCUCCGGGGGUAGAGCACUGUUUCGGCUAGGGGGCCAUCCCGGCUUACCAACCCGAUGCAAACUGCGAAUACCGGAGAAUGUUAUCACGGGAGACACACGGCGGGUGCUAACGUCCGUCGUGAAGAGGGAAACAACCCAGACCGCCAGCUAAGGUCCCAAAGUCAUGGUUAAG
rnacentral:rRNA from 1 species